rnacentral:rRNA from 1 species
CGAGCGGAACGACACUAACAAUCCUUCGGGUGCGUUAAUGGGCGUCGAGCGGCGGACGGGUGAGUAAUGCCUAGGAAAUUGCCUUGAUGUGGGGGAUAACCAUUGGAAACGAUGGCUAAUACCGCAUAAUGCCUACGGGCCAAAGAGGGGGACCUUCGGGCCUCUCGCGUCAAGAUAUGCCUAGGUGGGAUUAGCUAGUUGGUGAGGUAAUGGCUCACCAAGGCGACGAUCCCUAGCUGGUCUGAGAGGAUGAUCAGCCACACUGGAACUGAGACACGGUCCAGACUCCUACGGGAGGCAGCAGUGGGGAAUAUUGCACAAUGGGCGAAAGCCUGAUGCAGCCAUGCCGCGUGUAUGAAGAAGGCCUUCGGGUUGUAAAGUACUUUCAGUUGUGAGGAAGGGGGUAGCGUUAAUAGCGCUAUCUCUUGACGUUAGCAACAGAAGAAGCACCGGCUAACUCCGUGCCAGCAGCCGCGGUAAUACGGAGGGUGCGAGCGUUAAUCGGAAUUACUGGGCGUAAAGCGCAUGCAGGUGGUUCAUUAAGUCAGAUGUGAAAGCCCGGGGCUCAACCUCGGAACUGCAUUUGAAACUGGUGAACUAGAGUACUGUAGAGGGGGGUAGAAUUUCAGGUGUAGCGGUGAAAUGCGUAGAGAUCUGAAGGAAUACCAGUGGCGAAGGCGGCCCCCUGGACAGAUACUGACACUCAGAUGCGAAAGCGUG